CAUCACUACGCUAGAUGCAUAUCAAUAAGCGGAGGAAAAGAAACUAACAAGGAUUCCCUUAGUAACGGCGAGUGAAGCGGGAAGAGCUCAAAUUUGAAAUCUUCAAGGUUCUACCUUGACGAAUUGUAGUUUAUAGAAGUGUUUUCUGUUAGUAGAGUGGCAAAAGUUCUUUGGAAUAGGACAUCAUAGAGGGUGAGAAUCCCGUAUUUGACCGUUACUUUCCAGCUGUGUGAUACACUUUCAAAGAGUCGGAUUGUUUGGGAAUGCAGUCCAAAAUGGGUGGUAAAUUUCAUCUAAAGCUAAAUAUUGGCGAGAGACCGAUAGCGAACAAGUACCGUGAGGGAAAGAUGAAAAGAACUUUGAAAAGAGAGUUAAACAGUACGUGAAAUUGUCAAAAGGGAAGCGUUUGACACCAGUGUUGUUUAGUUGAAAAUCAAUUCAAUAAUUUUUGAUUUUAAGUAGUAUUGACUUCAUCAGCUUGCUGCUUUCUUCUCAGGAAUUAUUGAAUGCACUUUUCAGUUAACAAGUCAACAUCAAUUUCUUUUGUUGUAAAAGGGUAAGAGGAAGGUGGCUUACGCUUCGGCGUAAGUGUUUAUAGCCUUUUACCUCUGCAAUCGGAGAGAUUGAGGAUCAGCAGCGUAGACUCUUCGGGGUUAGAUACACUUGUGCUAAGCUAUAGCCUUGUAUAGACAACUUGUUGACUAUGCUCAGUCAUGUAGCCUACUCGCUUGUGCUAUUUUACCUACGCUUAGGAUGUUGAAGAUAUGCGCGACACG
rnacentral:rRNA from 1 species